CCGUUUCUAUCUCUCCAUCCUGGUCUCCCUAGCUCUCUUUCAAGCUGUGUCUGUGUCUUUGUAUGUCCGUGUGUGUCCGUGUGUGUGUGUCCGUGUGUGUGCACCUGCGUGUGUCCAGGUAUGUGUCCGUGUCUGUGUCUUUGUGUGCCCGCGCGCGUGCGCCCGUGUAUAUCUGUGUGUGUGUCGGGCUGGGUUUGCUCGUGGUGGUGUCGGGGUGUGUCUGGGUGUCCCGCAGCCCCUCUCUCCCGGGAUCAGGCUGCCGGCUCCAGUGCCAGCGCGGGGCCAAGCAGAGCCUCCCCACCCCCCUGCUCACGGGCCGGGUCCUCUUGGGGACAAGCGACGGUGGUGGGGGCGUGGUGAAAAAAAGGGCCCGCGGGGCUGGGCCGGCUGUGCGUCCCCGGACAGCCCCUGCGGCUCUGGGUGGAUGGGGCAGGAGGGGGCCUUGCAGGAGGGGCGGCGAGGGAUCCAAAACAAUGUUUCCGCGGCAAGUCGGAGGACCGGAGGGGAUCCCAGGACCGUGACCCCUGGGCCCUGACGCCUCGGAGCACACCCCGUCCUGAGCCGGCCCGAUGUGUUGGAAGCUCGGGAGCUGGAGAGUCGGGGAAGGCCUGGAGCGUCUGCGAAAGGGAGACCGUCCGGAGAGCCCGGAGCCUGGGCAGGGGAUGGAGGCAUCACGGCCUGACGACGGAUUCUUGUUUCCUGCAACAAGGGGAGUCUCCCUGUGGCCGGUUUGGAAACUGGAAAGGAGCGCGAAGACACGGUGCUGCUUUUCCACGCUUCCCUGGAGGUUUCUGGGUCCCCACAGAGCUCGGGAAACAAACUGUCAACACGAUCACUCUUUCGGGGGCUGGAGACACGCGAGCAACAAGCCCCCUUGCAGAGGGCAAAGGAACGUGGGACCCGAAACCACGCUUCAGUCGGCCUGAGUGCGACUCCUGUGUGGCUGGAACUAUCCGCCUGGCGCUCUGUUGCAGGCUCAACGUGGGGCUGUGUCAUCUGUGAACCAUGUGGAUGAAAAACCGGCAACCACCGGAGUCUCGGCUUGUUGCUCUCUGGGCAUUUUGCUCAUUCCUUGGGAGACGAAAUUCGUCUGAAUCGCUCCGGGAUGAAGUGACCCGGGCUGGCGAUCCGGAGGGCCAGUGAGCGCCCCUCAGGCGGACAUGGCUGUGAGCCGAGCACUCAGCCCGCACUGGGCACCCAACAUUUUCCCGGAGUGCUGGGUCCUGUUGGUCCUGGAGGCAGAAGACCGCCUUGCUCUCUGCCUUCGUUUCUGUUUCUUGCUCCUUUUCUCCCUCUGUCCAUCCUUCCCUCUGUUCUUCCUUCUCUCCCUCUCUCCCUCCCUCCCUCUGUUCUUCCCUCCUUCUCUCUCUUCCUCCAUCCAUACCUCCCUUUCUCCCUCCUUCCCUCCCUUUCUUCCUCUCCUUUUCUUUCCUUCCCUACCUCCAUCCCUUCCAAUGUCCCUCCGUUCAUCCGUCCUUUCCUCCCUCCGUCCUUCCCUCCCACUUUGUCUCCAUUCCUUUCCACAUCUCUGCCCGGCCUCCCUCCCGCCUAGAAAGGGCAGAACCACGGUUUGCGCGAGAUCGCGGGAUCUACAUGUAGUUGCCGGGCGCUCCACGUGACGCCGAGGAGACUGGCGGGGCACGGGUGGGCGAGUGAGGGUGGAGCGGGGAGGCAGAGGAGUCUAGCCGCGGAAAGGAGAGCAGGCCUGGCCGCUGCCCCGGCCUGUGUUUCGGGGGUGGAGCUCUCCGCCUGCCCCACUGAGGAACGCGGAGGGCGGGGCGGGGGUGCGCGGGGAGGGUUGCGAGCGGAUAGGCUGAGAGCUCUGCCUGGGCUGGUGCCAAAGCAGGUCCCAAAGCCUGCUGCCUGCGGACCCGCGUAAGUGCAGUAGGUGGCCGAUCUCUGGGUACCUGGACGGGCUCUGAUCCCCGGGAUGCUCAGGAAAGAAUGACAGCCCUCCUCUGUGUAGAGUCUCUCGCCGGACCUGGAACUCAGGAUCCUAGACAGGUCAGCUGGAAGGGAAGAGACGCCUCUCCACACCGAGCCAGAGAUUCACCGCGAAAGAGAGGCCACCGCUCUGCCCCCACCCCGCCCCAACCCCGCGUCCUGAAGCUCCUCCAGCAGAGCCGGGUGUUCUUCCUGGCUGAGGAGUGGUUCCAGCGGAGCGGGCUGUUCCACGUCCUUCAGCUCCCCCAGUGGCUCCGUUGCGAGGAAAUGUUGUGCCUUUUGCUGAAAUGCUGGGGUCGACAGGAGCUUUUAAAACAGGGCUGAUGUGAGUGCAGACGAACGCUCCGGCUCCUGGAGCGGUUGGGAGGGCGCCUGGAUGGCUUGCAUCUGCUUCUGCCACGCAGAGGCCUCCGUGGGCACGGGCUGCGGAGGUAGAUGUGCCUCGUCUUCGGGUUCCCACGCGCCCUGGCGACCCGGGGCCCCUGGGUCCAGCCCCAAUACGGACUCAUGUGGGACGUGUGCGGCGCGAGUACACCUUGGCCCUGUGACUCAGCCUGAGCGGGCCCAGGCUGUCCCAUUGAGCAGGAGCCCAGAAGGUCGCCGUGCUGCGAGUCCUGAUCCCCCUGCCAUCUGUUAGGGUGCGGAGGUCACCCAGGCGUCUGAGGGUGGGACAGUGCCACUUCCGAAGGAGCCAGGGCAGCAAACCCAAAAUCCCUGCGUGCCUGGGCAGGUUAGGAGAUUCCUUCUGCCUGCGAAGUCUGGCUGGGCUGCAGCAGAGGAGCGACCCUUGCUGCCUGGCUCACGAAAGCCCCCUGUUCCCCCUGUCCUUGUGUGAGUGAAGGUGACCAAGGAGGGAGGAGGGUAACACCCGCCGGGGCCGCGUUGCACAGGCCGCCUGCGUGCGCGGGUUCCCUGCCACCCUGGCCUGGAUGCCUGGACCUUCGAUUCUGACACGAAAUCUGAAUCCUGGACUCCAAAAGGCACGUCUCUUGGGCCAGUUAGGGUAGGAGUUCCGCUCAAAGCCCUGCCCCCACCCCGUCCCAACCCUGCGUCCUAAAUCUCCUGCAGCAGAGCCGGGUGAUCCUCCUGGCUGAGGAGUAGUUCCAGCGGAGCCGGCUGUUCCACGUCCUUCAGCUCCCCCAGUGGCGCCGGAUCUAGCAAAGGUUGUGCCUUUUGCUGAAAUUCUAGGGUCGACAGGAGCUCAUCUACCAGGCUGGAGGGGAGUGCAGACGAGCGCUGAGUCUCCUGGAGCGGUUGGGAGGGCGCCUCGAUGGCUUGCAUGUGUGCUUGACGCUCGCAGGCCUCCGGGGUCGCGGGCUCCGGACUUGGAGGUGCCCCGUCUUCGGGUUCCCACGCCGCCUUGGAGACCUGGGGCUCCAGCCCCACCAGCGACUCCGCUGGGACGUGGGUGGUCCAGCACACCUUGGCCCUGUGACUCAGCUUGAGCGGGCCCAGGCUGUCCCACUAAGCACGCGCCCAGCAGGCUGCUGUGUUGCGGGUCCUGGUCUUCCUGUCAUUUGUUGGGGGUGCGGGGCCACCGAGGAGUCUGAGGGUGGGACAGCCCCACUUCCGGAGGAGCCAGGGCACCGAACACAAAGCCCCGAGUGCAGGGGCAGGUUGGGAGAUUCCUUCUGCCUGCGCAGCCUGGCUGGGCUGGAGCAGGGGGACUGCCCUUGCUCUCUGGCUCACGAAAUCCCCCUGUGGGAGAGCCCCAGGAGCGCAGGGUAUGUGGGGUGCGGGAAGCCCCGUUUCCCAUGCCCGGGUGUGGGUGAACUCGAUAGAGGAGGGAGGAGGGCAACACCUGCUGGGGUGUCAAUAACCACAGUGGCCUCAAAGAGCUCAAAUGAAAGGAAGAAUUGCACGUCUCUCACUUUAAGUCCAGAGCUAGAAAUGAUUAAGCUUAGUGAAGAUGUAGAAUUUUCACCGCUAGAGAGAAGUCAACACUUGGCUUCAAAACUUCAAAGGAUGGGCCGGGCGCGAUGACUCACGCCAGCACUUUGGGAGGCCGAGGCGGGUGGAUCACAAGGUCAGGAGAUCGAGACCAUCCUGGCUAACACGGUGAAACCCCGUCUCUACUAAAAAUCCAAAAAAAUUAGCCGGGCGUGGUGGCGGCGCCUGUAGUUCCAGCUACUCGGGAGGCUGAGGCAGGAGAAUGGCGGGAACCCAGGAGGUGGAGCUUGCAGUGAGCCGAGAUCGCACCACUGCACUACAGCCUGGGCGACAGAGCGAGACUAAAAAAAAAAGAAGGAAAGAAAAGAAAGAAAAAAAAGAUUGCUGCUUACUGACAAUUCACCUAGCUACCCAGAAGCUUAGAUGGAGAUGUACUUGGAAAUUAAUGCUAUUUUCAUGGCUGCUAAUACAAUAUCUACCCUUCAGCCUGUGGAUCGAGGAGUGAUUUUGACUUUCAGGUCUUAUUAUUAAAUAAUAAAUGCAUUUUGUAAAGGUAUAGCUGUCAUAGACAGUGAUUUCUUUGUUGAAUCUGGAUAAACUGAAUUGAAAACCUUUUGGAAAGUAUUCACCAUUAAUCCUUUCAUGAUAUUUCAACCUCCUCCCGUGAAUCACAAAUGUCCUUAAAAGCAAUCCUUAAAUGCCGUUAAGGACAUUUGUGAUUGAUGGGAGGAGGCUGAAAUAUCAACAUUAACAGGAGUUUGGAAGAAGUUGAUUCCAGCCCUCAUGGAUGACUUUGAGGGCUCAGGAUGUCAGAGGAAGUCCCUGCAGAUGCGGUAGAAAUCGCAAGACAACUAGAAUUAGAAUUAGAGCCUUAAGAUGAGAUGAAAUUGCUGUAAACUCAUGAUAAAACUUGAACAAAUGGGGAGUUGCUUCUUAUGGAUGAGGAAAGAAAAUAUUUUCUUGAGAUGGAACCUGCUCCAGGUGGAGAUGCUAUGAACAUUGCUGAAACGACAGCAAAGGAUUUAGGAUAUUCCAUAAACCUGGUCGAGAAAGCAGCUGCAGGGUUUGACAGGGUUGAUUCCAGUUUUGAAGGAAGUUCUACUGUGGAUGAAACGCGAUCAAACAGCAUCACAUGCUACAGGGAAAUCUUUUGUGAACGGAACAAACUUCAUUGUUUUAUUUUAAGAAACUGACAUGGGCACCCAACCUUCAGCAACCCCCAGGCUGAUCAGUCAGCAGCCGUCAAUACAGAGGCAAGAUUUCCACCAGCAAAAACAUUAUGACUUGGAGACAACAGUCACAACGUCACCUGAUUAUCAUGAGAGCUCCAUGUGACAACAACGUGAGAACGCCGGUGAAGGGCAUUUGAAAAACAAAGGGAUUCACCAAUCGGGUCCAUCACCAGUGACGAACCCCUGCCCUCACCCAUGCCCUGGGAACUACACAAGAAUUCACAGUACUGGUUAUACUCAGGUAACAACAGGGUGGCAAGGAACACAACUAGACGAAACUAAGCCCCCAAAGGAAGGACAUCAUCAUCACAGAUCCAUGAAGAACUGCUCUGAUACCGUGGGAAAAACGGCAUCCCCACAGUUCCCUGAACGGCUCUGAAACCACAGAAAGGACGUCAUCCUCACAGCUCCACGAAGAACUGCUCUGAGUCCACGGGAAGGACGUCAUCCUCACAGCUCCACGAAGAACUGCUCUGAGUCCACGGGAAGGACGUCAUCCUCACAGCUCCACGAAGAACUGCUCUGAGUCCACGGGAAGGACGUCAUCCUCACGGCUCCACGAAGAACUGCUCUGAGACCACAUGAAGGGUGUCAUCCUCACAGCUCCGUGAACGGCUCUGAUACCACAGAAAGGACGUCAUCCUCAUGGCUCCACGAAGAACUGCUCUGAGUCCACGGGAAGGACGUCAUCCUCACGGCUCCACGAAGAACUGCUCUGAGUCCACGUGAAGGGCGUCAUCCUCACGGCUCCACGAAGAACUGCUCUGAGUCCACGGGAAGGGCGUCAUCCUCACGGCUCCACGAAGAACUGCUCUGAGUCCACGGG